rnacentral:snRNA from 1 species
AUGCUCCCUUUGGCAGCACACAUACUGAAAUUGGAACGAUACAGAGAAGGUUAGCAUGGCCCCUAUGCAAGGGUGACACACACAGGGAAGCGUUCCCUGUGCGG